rfam:Gossypium hirsutum cultivar TM-1 chromosome 11, whole genome shotgun sequence
AACCCAUGGUGAGGGCACCUUCUCGAAAGGUCCUUCUAUCUCUCCCAUGCAUUGUAGAGUGUUUAUAAAUUCAUCUACACAAAAUAGGAGAUAUCAUUACGUAAUUUU